rnacentral:rRNA from 1 species
GAUGAACGCUGGCGGCGUGUCUAAUACAUGCAAGUCGAGCGAACAGACGAGGAGCUUGCUCCUCUGACGUUAGCGGCGGACGGGUGAGUAACACGUGGAUAACCUACCUAUAAGACUGGGAUAACUUCGGGAAACCGGAGCUAAUACCGGAUAAUAUAUUGAACCGCAUGGUUCAAUAGUGAAAGACGGGUUUGCUGUCACUUAUAGAUGGAUCCGCGCCGCAUUAGCUAGUUGGUAAGGUAACGGCUUACCAAGGCAACGAUGCGUAGCCGACCUGAGAGGGUGAUCGGCCACACUGGAACUGAGACACGGUCCAGACUCCUACGGGAGGCAGCAGUAGGGAAUCUUCCGCAAUGGGCGAAAGCCUGACGGAGCAACGCCGCGUGAGUGAUGAAGGUCUUCGGAUCGUAAAACUCUGUUAUUAGGGAAGAACAAAUGUGUAAGUAACUAUGCACGUCUUGACGGUACCUAAUCAGAAAGCCACGGCUAACUACGUG